GUUGGUUGAAGACAUAUUUUCUCUUUAUAAACUGUGAAGGUCAAAAGAGGCUGAAAAUUCCAUUUGUUUUAAAGUAUUAGAUGUUGUGUCUGUUGAACUCUCAAUGAAAAAGGGUUUAAGUAGUCUGACCUCAGGAGCCUGAUGGUGUGAAUAAUGUGGCCAUACACAGAGUAUGGCUUCUUCGAUUGUUCAGUUUUGUUCAGUAGGUGAUCAGAUUUCAGCUUCUGGGUUUUAAGCUGUCAGAGUGGAACUGGCAAGCUGAAGGAAUUUAAUGGAAUGAUCAAGGGAUCAGGGUCUAACCCCAGGUCUGCCACUACUUUUGACCAUAGGCAAGUCAUUUACCCAUCUUGUCCCUGAAACUCAUCCAUGUUUUAGCAACCGUUUGUGGUUCAUGGUCCCAUAAGCAGUACUUGCAUAAUGGAUCAUUUAAGGGGCCUCUGAACCUCCUGAAAUUUUAUGCAGAAUUCCAUGUAUGUGUAUUUUGGGGGAGAAGGCUAAUAGUUUUAUCAGACUUUCAGAGGGAAUCUGUGGCCCCCUAUAGUUCACAAGUCACUAGCCUAGAUACUCUCUGAAGUUCCUGAAAAUUCCAAUAUUCUUUAAUUUUUCUAGUCUUGAUCUCAGCUUCUCUGUUCUAGUACUUCCUGGUAUAUAAUCUCUGUAUAAAUAGAGACACACGGAGGAAGGACACAUUUGGAAGUAGACACAGUGAGAUAGGCUCUAUGUGGCAGGAAGUGGUAUAGUAGAGAGUCUCAAUGUUGUAGGAAUUGGGAGCAGAGGGAGACUGGGAAGGGCUGGAAUUGGGACUUGAGCUGAACUGUGGGAAAUGAGACCAGGACACUGGUUUCAACUCUGGCUAUACAUUAAUACCAUCUGGGGAGUUUUCAAACCCUACUGAUGACUAGACCCCCUACCACGUGAGUUAAAUUAGAAUUUUGGAGGGUCCCACCCUUCCUUGACCUUGCACUCCCUCUCCCUAUCAAUUCCCUUUCCUCCAUGGGCAUAUUUUUAAUGGUUCUCCACGUGAUUCCAAAGUACAGCCACAGAUGAGAACCACAAAGUACAGAGGAAGGAAGAAGGAGGAGUGUUUGUCUGGAGUGGUAUGAGUCCAGGGGCAGAGGUAGGAGGUACACAGGUUUAGGUUGUGAAGAGACCUUCCUGAUCAGAGCUGGGAACAUUGGACUUUUGUAGGUUGGUUUUGGCAGCCAGAGCAGGGGAAGCCACCUGAAGGUUUACGCAGAGGAGUUACUCAAUAAAAGUGUUUGUAGAAGGUAGACCUGCCUGGAUGAGUUGGCAGGGAAAGAGCCCAGGUUUUUGCAAUAGUCCAGUUAGGUAUUGUGACAUUUAAACCAUCUGGCUUUAUCACUCCCCUGGGCCAGUGUGGUAGUGUAGUCUUUAUGCGUGGAAGGGAUCACAUCUUGGAGUCAUUGAUUUGUUCCCUAUGUGCUAUUCCCCAGCUGCCCUGCUAAGCAGAAUGGCGGGUAAAAUGAAGGUUGCUCACAGGUGCAGUCCUGUGUGUAUCAGGAGGCUCUGUGUGGAGCUCUUGGAGCUCAGGUCAUUGAUUCAAGUAAUGAACUCUCUUAGGCUUUUGUCUGGAUUGGUAUGAAGAGACUGUGACUUACUUGCCUCAAGGAACCCAGGGAAUAUGGGUAGAAAAGACAAGAGUUUAGUGGUUAUGGGCAGCCUCAGGAAGUUGCUCUGCAAACCCAGUGUUUGCACAGAGGGAGAGGAGAGUCCUCAUGACGUCUGAAAGUGAAGAACUUCCGCAGCUGGUGAUUAUCUCCUGAGACACUAUUGAUAAUCUAUUUGGAAUUCUAUUGUUGACCAAUGACAACAGAGAUUCUGUGUUGGGGAGCUCCUUCCUCCAAGACUGUACAUUUCUUAUACACUUAGUAACUGAGUUGGGCAGUUGUGGGCUCCUUUGUCCAGUGCUCCCUAUUGUAAUUGCUUUAUUCUGUAGGACUUGGGCUGUUGCUUGUGGAACAUUGCCUUCCCUCUUAGUCUAAUUUAUCCUGUGUUAUGUUUUUGAUCAUUGAACAAAUUUAAAUGGCAGUGCUCAUGGUAGACUGUAAGUAUUUGAAGACUUUUUGGGUGUUUGUGGAAUAGUUUAGGAUACUGUCUUGGUAUCUUUAUCACCCUGGGUACUGGUUGAUAACUGAGCUCUGAGCCUUUCUUCUUUCCCUGGAGGCCUUCUUCAUCCCUGGGUUACUCUCUUAGUUCAGCCCACCAUUAUCUCAUCUGGAUUAUUGUAAUACCCUCUUGCCUCCGAGGGUGAAGUUACAUCUUCCCCAUUCUAGUACAUUCUGCACAGUGCAGCUAGAAUGAUCUUGCAUAGCAUAAAAAGGCUAAUUGUGUCACCUGCUCCUCCUUUCAUACACAUGUACUAGUUCCUCCAUUAUCUACAGGGUGAAAUGUAGACUUUGAACUGGGCAUGCUGCAUAUUUUGUAGCCAGCCUUCAUGCUGUUCUUCCAGUUUCUUUUUUUUUUUAGGAGAGCAAGGCAGAGGCUUUUAUUUAGAGAGAAAGUGAGAGGACAGAGCUCCUGGCUCACAGGGAGGGGACAAGAGAGUCCCAGGGUGGCGCAUUGUCUAAGGGUUUUAUAGGUGGUUGAGAGACAAAGGGCUAGGGAUGUACACCUGCUAAGUGGUCCCAAAAUAUUUAUCUUUGAAGAGACAUAAAGUUUCAUAUUAGUCUUCCAGGUAACUUACAAGAAAUGUACUGCUCCGAUUUCCUCCCAGGACAGACACUUCCCGGUCUGGGAGCAUAUCACUCAAGACUGCCUGCUUUGCUUCCAAGAUGGAGACCCUAGCUGCUGCUAGGGAAAGCUGGUGACGACUGCUGUAACUGCUUCAUGCUGAGAGGGGGCGCAGUAAAGGGUGCAGUUAGGUCUCCAUCACUGGUCAGUUGAGAGGGCCUCUGUUCUUACAGUUUCUGACACCCCCGUUCCAUCUCCCGUGAGGUUCUGCCAUUCUAAGAGUCUGCUGUGUUGUAGACCACCAGGCCCCAUCAUGACUUAGAGCCUUUGCCUCAGCUGUUCCCUCUGCUUGGAAUGCCCCCCUUCACGUCUCUAAAUCCCCCAUCCCUACCUCUAAUUUCUUCAGGGCCCAAUCAAGGGUCACUUGCAUGCUGAAUCCUCCUAGUUGUUUGAGUCCUCUGGGCUAGCACAGGAUUUGUCCACAGCUUGGGUUUCCUGGGCUUACUGUGCCCUGUAAUUUACAAGUCUGCCUCUCCCAUAAGACCGUAGCUUCCCCCCAGGUCAGGGAUGAUGGCUGAUUAAUUUACCUCGUAAAUUUUCAGCAUUAAGGUCCUAGCUUGAGACCUCAGAGAUUCUCGCAUGUUUGAAUUCACUCAUUCAUUCAGGCAGCAGAUGAGUGCUCACCACUAGGCAUGGGCCCAGUUCCAGAUGUGGACACAGUGGUGAGGAAAACACCCAAGAUUUCCCUGGCUUACAGUUUUGUGGCAAGAGACCCACUGUAAAUACAGUAAUUAAGAACAUGAUGUAGUAUAGUAAAAGGUGAUAGUUGCUAUAAAAACAGAGCAGGGGAAGGCAUAGUAAAGUGCUGAGGUUGGGAGUGAGGGUGGAUACAGUUUUAAAUAGGGCGGUCAUGAAAUAGAAAUAGAAAUGCAUUUCAGUCCAGACUUGAGGGAGAGGAAGCAUGAAUGAAUGAAUAAACCAACAAA